UGGGCUGCUCGAUUUUUCGAGGAACUUGAUUAUGUAAAUGAAGGAGAAAAUGGAACUAUCUUUGCUGAAAUGAUGAGAGAAGACCUUCCUCAGGUUGUAGUACCAAAGACAUUCAGCAAGUAUACGUCAAGAAAAGUUCUUACCACACAAUGGAUAGAUGGUGAGAAGUUAUCACAAAGUAAGGAAAGUGAUGUUGGGGAACUGGUCAAUGUUGGAGUCAUUUGCUACCUAAAACAGCUACUUGAUACUGGUUUCUUCCAUGCUGAUCCACAUCCUGGAAAU
rnacentral:misc_RNA from 1 species